rnacentral:rRNA from 1 species
UCCUUGAUUCAGCGGCGGACGGGUGAGUAAUGCCUAGGAAUCUGCCUGGUAGUGGGGGACAACGUUUCGAAAGGAACGCUAAUACCGCAUACGUCCUACGGGAGAAAGCAGGGGACCUUCGGGCCUUGCGCUAUCAGAUGAGCCUAGGUCGGAUUAGCUAGUUGGUGGGGUUAUGGCUCACCAAGGCAAUGAU